UCCUCAUGAAGAAAUUUGAGGUCUAGCCUGCCCACUGAAUAUAAUUUUAAAGGGCCGCGGUAUUUUAACCGUGCGAAGGUAGCAUAGUCAAUAGUCUUUUAAUUGGAGGCUUGAAUGAACGGUUGGACAUAAGGAAAACUGUCUCCAAUGUGUUUGGGUGAAUUUAACCUUUGUGUGAAAAGGCAUUAAUGAUUUAAGGGGACGAUAAGACCCUAUAAAACUUGAUAACUAACCUAGGCUUCGUGAUUUUAGUUUAAUUUAAAGUUUAGUGUAGUUUAUUGUGCUGGGGCGGCAGGAAUAAAACUUGUAACUGUUCUUAAAUUUAAAUAAUUAUAAUUAGGUGUUGACCCUGAAUUUUGGGUUAAAAGACUAAGUUACUUUAGGGAUAACAGCGUUAUUUCUCUUGAGAGUUCAUAUCGACAGAGAUGUUUGCGACCUCGAUGUUGAAUUAAAGUUUUCCCCGGGAGUAGAAGUUCGGGAGGUAGGUCUGUUCGACCUUUAAAAUU
rnacentral:rRNA from 1 species